rnacentral:rRNA from 1 species
AACGUAGGAGACAAACGUUAUCCGGAGUUACUGGGCGUAAAGGGCGUGUAGGCGGUUUGUUAAGUCUGGCGUGAAAGCUCUCGGCUAAACCGGGAGAGGUCGUUGGAUACUGGCGAACUAGAGGAUGGUAGAGGCGUGUGGAAUUCCGGGUGUAGUGGUGAAAUGCGUAGAGAUGCGGAGGAACACCGAUGGCGAAGGCAGCCCCCUGGGCCAAUACUGACGCUCAGGCACGAAAGCGUGGGGAGCAAACAGG